AUCACCUGUAGAGCGCGGUCGGCGCGUUCAAGGGCUGCUAGACAGCGACGGCAGCAGGCAGACAACGAGCUUUCAGGAGGCAGUCCUAUUUAUAUGCCAAGUUUAUUUUUUGUUCCGCAUUGCCCCUAAGGAUGUUUGCUGAUGUUAAAAAACCGACACUCCGCUCUUCUUCUACCCGAAGUUGGGCUGCGUAGGUAGACGUCAGAUUUCAGCACCAGAAAAUGGACAGCUCUCCAUCUGUGAGGAAGCCUCAAGACCCUCUGAAGAUGUUCGGACUUUCUGCUCUUGACCACGGAUCUUGGAUCAGCUGGAGAUAAUUACUACUCAUCCAUUCAGAAAUACAAAUAAGGGAUUGGAUCAGAGAGGCCAGAGCAUCAGGGUCAUCCGACAUGAUAGCAGCGGUGACUCUGGAAAAUUCCUGUCACUUCACCUUCCUCAUCAGACUAACUCUGCCACUUCCAGUCCUCCUAAAAUAUAUCCCUGAAGGAUGACCCGGAACUUGUCGAGAGACCAGAUAGUGACAGUGGCUCACCAGAGUGAUGGAAACACAAACUUUCAAAGAUGAAUAUUUUGUUCCCUUGGUUUUUUGUUUUUCAUUUGCUUAACAGCAUUAAAUGGGAUCAGUCCAUCUUGGACCCCCACACUCUCCA